rnacentral:rRNA from 1 species
AGAGUUUGAUCCUGGCUCAGGAUGAACGCAGGCGGCGUGCCUAAUACAUGCAAGUCGAACGAGAACGACAACUUUCAGUUGUUAAGUAAAGUGGCGAACGGGUGAGUAACACGUAGGUGACCUGCCCCAGAGAGGGGGACAACCGGCGGAAACACCGGCUAAUACCCCAUAAGCUCACGUUGAUUAGGAAGACGUGAGAAAAACUCCGGUGCUCUGGGAGGGGCCUGCGGCCCAUCAGCUGGUUGGUAGGGUAACGGCCUACCAAGGCGAAGACGGGUAGGGGGCCUGAGAGGGUGGUCCCCCACACGGGCACUGAGACACGGGCCCGACUCCUACGGGAGGCAGCAGUAAGGGAUAUUGCACAAUGGGCGAAAGCCUGAUGCAGCAACGCCGCGUGCCUGAUGAAGGCCUUCGGGUCGUAAAGGGCUUUUCUGGCUGAAGAGGAAGGACGGUAGGCCAGGAAUAAGUGUCGGCUAACUACGUGCCAGCAGCCGCGGUAAAACGUAGGACGCAAGCGUUAUCCGGAGUUACUGGGCGUAAAGCGCGGGCAGGCGGGUGCCCAAGUCGGACGUGAAAGCUCCUGGCUCAACCGGGAGGGGCCGUUCGAGACUGGGCGUCUGGAGGGCAGUAGAGGGGCGUAGAAUUCCGGGUGGAGUGGUGAAAUGCGUAGAGAUCCGGAGGAAUACCAGAGGCGAAGGCGGCGCCCUGGGCUGCACCUGACGCUGAGCCGCGAAAGCAUGGGGAGCGAACGGGAUUAGAAACCCCGGUAGUCCAUGCCGUAAACGAUGUCAACUGGGUGUGGGGGCGAAAGCCUCCGCGCCGAAGCCAACGCGAUAAGUUGACCGCCUGGGGAGUACGGUCGCAAGGCUAAAACUCAAAGGAAUUGACGGGGGCCCGCACAAGCAGCGGAGCGUGUGGUUUAAUUCGAGGCAACGCGAAGAACCUUACCUGGGCUUGACAUCUAGGUGGUACCGAACCGAAAGGGGAGGGACCUUCGGGAGCUUAGACAGGUGCUGCAUGGCUGUCGUCAGCUCGUGCCGUGAGGUGUUCGGUUAAGUCCGCAAACGAGCGCAACCCUUGUCGUCAGUUACAAGUGUCUGACGAGACUGCCGGUGAAAGCCGGAGGAAGGUGGGGAUGACGUCAAGUCAGCAUGGCCUUUAUGUCCAGGGCGACACACACGCUACAAUGGCCGGUACAGAGGGAAGCGAAGCCGCGAGGUGGAGCGGAUCCCAGAAAGCCGGUCGUAGUUCGGAUUGCAGGCUGCAACUCGCCUGCAUGAAGGAGGAGUUGCUAGUAACCGCCGGUCAGCCACACGGCGGUGAAUACGUUCCCGGGCCUUGUACACACCGCCCGUCACGUCAUGGGAGCUGGCAACACCUGAAGUCGGCGAGCGAACCGCAAGGAAGCCACCGCCGAAGGUGGGGCUGGUGACUGGGACGAAGUCGUAACAAGGUA